UGCCAGCAGCCGCGGUAAUACGUAUGGUGCAAGCGUUAUCCGGAAUCACUGGGCGUAAAGGGAGCGUAGGCGGUUUUGCAAGUCAGAAGUGAAAGGCUACGGCUCAACCGUAGUAAGCUUUUGAAACUGCAAGACUAGAGUGCAGGAGAGGCAAGUGGAAUUCCUAGUGUAGAGGUGAAAUUCGUAGAUAUUCGGAAGAACACCAGUGGCGAAGGCGGCUUUCUGGACCAAUACUGACGCUGAGAUGCGAAAGCGUGGGGAGCGAACAGGAUUAGAUA
rnacentral:rRNA from 1 species